AGGUAAAUUGAUAUCAUCAGGUACAGGAUUAUCAGAAGAAAGCUCAAUUACAAGAUCACGAUUAGGCAUGGACUCAUGGUUAUUUGGAGCCAUCACCGGUUCUGACGCUCUUGGUGCCUCAGGUCAGGAAUUGAUGCAAUGGAAGGCUCGAUAGAUGGGUCAGGGAAUGAAGCAACGGAAGGCUCAAUAGGUGGUACGGGUUCAGAUGACACAGAUUCAAUAGUAAAGAGGUCAAAGAACCGAUCUUCACUCCAUGUCUCCCCCUGAAGAGAGGGCUUUGGGAAAUAAGGAGUUGUUUCAAAGAAAGUAAUGUCAAGACUAACAAACAGCCUUUUGGAGACUGGAUCAUAGCAUUUGUAGCCUUUCUGAGUAGGGGAAUAACCAAGGAAGACACAUUUAACGGCUUGUGGAUCCAAUUUAUCCCAGUUUUGUGCAUGAACAUAAACAAACGUAGUACAACCAAAGAUUUUCAGCAGGAGAUUGGAUGGAAGCCGAGAGGUAGGAAAGUGUUCUUGGAAUUUCUGAAGAGGAGUGACAAAGGAAAGUACUCGACUCGGCAUUCGUUUAAUGAGAUGUGUGGCUGUUAAGAUGGCAUUGCCCCAAAAAUAGUUUUUCAUGUUGGUAGUGAACAUUAACGCCCGAGCUACUUCAAGUAUAUGUCUAUUUUUCCGACCAGCCACCCCAUUUUGUUGAGGGGUAUCCACACAAGAACUCUGAUGAACAAUCCCAUUUUCUUGAAGAUAAGUUUCCAGAAUAGUAUUAAAGUAUUCCGUACCAUUAUCAGUACGUAAAAUUUGAAUAUUAGUCUGGAAUUGUGUAUGAAUCAUGGAAUGAAAACUGAUAAAAAUGGAGCGGACUUCAGUUUUGUCUUUCAGCAAGUUAACCCAACAAAGACGAGUAUGGUCAUCAAUAAACGUAACGAACCAUUUUGUAUUUGUGCGAUUGAGUGAACGUGAGGGACCCCACAAAUCACUAUGAAUCAUAGUAAAUGGGCGAGAUGGUUUGUAUAUGGAUGAUGGGAAAUAAGUACGACGGUGUUUUGCAAGCUCACACACUUCACAUUGAAACUCAGGAGACUUUUUAUUUGAACAAAUAGACGGAAACAAACGUUUUAAAUAUUGGAAAUUGGGAUAAGUCAUUCUUGCAUGCCAUAACAAAAGUUCACUAUCUCUGGAAAUAGAUACAAAAUCACAAAUUGCAGUAUUUUAUAGUUCGCUCAAGCUUGCCUCCUCAAAGUAGUAAAGUCCCUCAUGCGUCUUAGCAGUGCCAAUCGUCUUCCCUGAUGAUAGAUCCUGAAAAACACAAUGAGAUGAAACAAAUUUAGCAGAACAAUUCGAGUCUUUUGUUAAUUGACUGAUGGAUAAUAGAUUGCAAGACAGCUUGGGAACAUGUAGGACUGAUUGUAAAGUGAUCGAGUCAGACAUGCGAAUACUUCCUUUACCAGCAACUGGUGAGAGAGAGUCAUCUACAAUUUUUACUCUCAAAUUCCCAACAUAUGGUGAGUAGGAUGAAAAACAUUGAUAAGAACCAGUCAUAUGAUUAGAUGCGCCCGAGUCAAUUAUCCGUGGAGAUUUGUAAUAGGAUGUAGUAUUUAAAGUUGACAGAUAAUUACCUCGGUGAGCUAGGGAACCAGAAGAAGACUGACCCAAUGUUUGAAUUGACGAAAUCAUUUUAUACAGCUGGUCUAACUAUUUAGGACUAAAUGCACUACUUGAAGAGUUAUUGAUUUUUUCUCCUUGUAAUUUUUCAGUUGACCUGUCAGUGCUAGUCUGGUACCCACGAUUUUUUUGGUAUUGUCUCGACUUCCAAUCUUCCGGUUUUCCAUGAAUCUCCUAGCAAGUAUCUUUUGAAUGCCCUUUUUUUCGGCAAUGUUCGCCCCAUAAUUUACCUUUUUGUGGUCGUUGGCUGGAUCCCCGUGGGCCUUUUGAUACAAUGGCCGAGACAUCAGGCCCAUUAGUAUGCCCAUUUAGAUUUGGGGCGGAUACGGGUAGGUCCAACCUGACAGGAUCAUUUUGGGGCCUCAGCAUUACACGCCUCCUGCUUUCCUCCCUCCUAACCUCUACGAAUACCUCUCGGGUUAAAGGAAGAGGUCGUUGGCUAAGGAUGCGUCCCCUCACCUCGUCCAGAUCUCGGUUCAGGCCGACAAGAAACUCGAAGACCCUUUCGUUCUUGAGCCUCCUUCGGUAUCGUGUGCUGUCACCGGAGCACUCCCACUCCUCGUCGGUGCUUAAGUCGAGUUCCUACCAGAGAUGGGUCAUCUCCUUGAAGUACUCAGUAACGCCUCUCUCACCUUGCCUCAUCUGCCACAAUCGGGUCUUGAUUUCGAAGAUUUGCGAGUAACUCUCGACGUCGGAAUAUGUCUCACGAACAGCGUCCCAAACGUCCUUCGUCGUUUGCAAGAACAGGUAGAUUUUCCCGAGUGAUGGCUGCAUCGAGUUGACGAGCCAGGCGAUGGCCAUGGAGUUUUCGGACCUCCAUUUUUGCAAGGCAACAACAUCGGUAGAGUCUGGUUUCCUCCGUUCGCCGGUAAGAUAGCCUAGCCUCCAUUUUCCUUCAAUCACCAAUUUUAUGGAUUUAGCCCACUCACAGAAAUUUUUUCUAUUUAAUUUCUACACUGAGAGUGGAAAGGAUAUGUUGUCAAGCCCAUUUGAACCCCCAACAGAUGUGGCCUCUAAGUCGCUGUCAAUAUUUGCAGAAGAGGUCGACCCUCUGCUGUUGAUGGUGCCGCUGGCCAUAGUUAGCUAAGGUUGAGAAACCCUAACUCUGAUACCAUGUAAGCGGAAGUUUUUAAAUUCUAUUGAAUUAAUUUUCAUAUGUACAUCCCAAUCUUAUAUAAUACAAUUCCCUAUUCUAAACAUGGAAAUAAUCUCCUUACCGAAUAAUAUCAAAUCCCCCACAUUUACUCACUUUCCUAAUUUGCUAAUUAUUUACAAUGAUACUUGGGAUUUUAACAGGAGUGACUUCAGGAAUAUCUAUUUUUUCGUCCUGAAACUCCAUUUUGUUGUGGAGUGCCGACAUAAGAUGAUUGAUGGAUCGUACCAGAAUUAGUCAUAUAGAUAUUGAAUUGGGUACUGAAGUACUCCUUAGCAUUAUCACUAUGAAGUAUCUCGACUAGUGUAUCAAAGUGGGUCUUAUUUGAAAAUAGAAGGCACGAAAGAUAUUAAACAAUUUAGAACGAUCCUUCAUUAAACCAAGGUUGUUAGAAUCAGGAUCCUACAUAGGAUCGUUCGAAGGGUCCGCAGGAUUGGAUCGUGGAUUUUAAGAUUUUACUUACAAUGUAAAACAAAUUAAAAUCUUAUAUAUUUGCCAUUUUAUGAGAGCUCUCAAUAAAAUAGUCCCAAAAUAUUGGAGUGAGUUUAAGAAAUUAAAACAAAUUUCAGGAAUGUAGCUAGCAUGCUAGCUAGCACCUAGCAGGGUUUUCCUUCAACAAUUUGACCCUAAAAGAAAAUCUAAAUAGUCUGAAAUGCAAAGUGUUCUUCAAAAGGCAGACUGUUGCUAGCUUAUUUAUUUAAUAAUUGUAAUUAAUAAGAAAAACAAAACGAAGAAGAAGAAGCAAGCAAGCAAAGGGAAAGCGAAGGAAGAAGAAGAAGAGCGUAGAGGCAAGCAAA